ensembl:snoRNA Gm22559 predicted gene, 22559
UCUGCCCCUAGAGCCAUUGCAGAUAUGGCUGCUAUGUCACACGUACUUCAGUCAGUGGCAGAAAGGAAAAAAGGCCUAUAUCUACAGAAGCUGUUCUGACCUAUGUGCAUCUGAAUGAUUCGUAGCCUAACAUU